CUUGUUUCUUUAGUGUUUUAACAUUUGUGUAUUAUGUAAAAUGCAUAAAAACUGUUAAAUGUGCUUUGCUAAUGCAUUUCUCUGAAGUUGAAUAUAUUUUUAUUACUUUCAAUAUUUUCUGUAUUAGAUGUCAAGGCAACAGGAGCAGCCAGGGCAAGGAAUAGCAGCAGAUGCAGCUGAUGGACAAAGGCGGGAUUCCAGAUCUGCUGUAUUUCGUAUUCCAGAAUUCAAGUGGUCUCACAUGCAUCAGCGUUUGCUCACUGAUCUCUUGUUUUCCAUAGAAACAGACAUACAGAUGUGGAGAAGCCACUCGACAAAGACAGUUAUGGACUUCGUGAACAGCAGUGAUAAUGUCAUCUUUGUCCACAACACAAUUCAUCUCAUCUCUCAAGUGAUGGACAAUAUGGUCAUGGCUUGUGGGGGGAUCCUGCCGUUGCUUUCAGCUGCGACGUCGGCUACAGUAAGGCCUUCACUACUGUAUUCAAUCAGUGUGAAAGCAGAGUGUUAUGCAUCCUUAUUGACUAAAACCAUGCAUGUAGUGGCUACUCUUUAUCAAGUGGCUAUAAAUUACAAGCAAGAAUCUUUUGCAAUUACCUGAAAGAAUUUUAAAAUCUGAGGAAAGAAGACUAAAAAGAAAGUUGAUUUCUUAGGACGAGUCGGCUAGUGAAGAAUAUGGUCAACAGUAAUUCAUCUGGAUGUUCCCAUUGCCCUUCUUUUUAAAAUAAGUAUGUCACUCUAUUGAAUUAGAUACCUGAAAGCUUUACUUUUUAUAAUACUUGGAAAUUCAAGGACUAUAUUGUUGAAUUAGAUUUUUGUCAGGCUCUGCAUCUAAAUGUCAAACUUUAUUCCUUGCAGCAUGAACUGGAGACUAUUGAACCUUCUCAGGGUCUUUCAGUAGAAGCCUCUGUGACAUUUUUGCAGAGGUUAAUUAGCCUUGUGGAUGUGCUUAUAUUUGCAAGUUCUCUUGGUUUCACUGAAAUUGAAGCUGAAAAAAAUAUGUCAUCUGGAGGAAUUUUGCGACAGUGUCUCCGACUGGGUAAGCUGUUAACCAUUAGUUUUAAUCCUUAGGAAUUUAAUAUCUUCAGCAUACAUUAAAUUGAAAAUGGAUUUUCUUCUUUUUGGGGAAAGAUUGUGUGCAGGCAAAGUUGUCAUACAUGUACAUUUUAGUGUAUUGUGCAUAGUAGUAGCACGUUGGGGAAUGGGGAGCACAUAAUUUCAAAAGUCUGCUGAGGUGAUUCUGGCUGGCAGACAUUUUCCCUGUCCCUCAGUCCCUUUUGGUCUAAGGUAGUGCUUCUCAAUCAGUGUGACUCAUCUGAGGUCUUGUUCAAAUGUAUACUAGAUUAUAUAUGUCUGGGGUGAGACAUAAACUUGUCUCUGAGGCCCUUGUGAUGCUGGUUUCUCUUGUUUUACACAUGAGAACCAGAAUUCUAAAGUGCAUCAUUCAGAUACGGCCUUCGUUCAGACAAGUUCAGGUGUGUUGGAAAGCAGUUAAUAAAACAGUUCU
rnacentral:lncRNA from 1 species